rnacentral:snoRNA from 1 species
GUGAUGAGGUCCACAGUGGGGCCUACGACAUGUGAGUGAGGUCUGGAGCACUGA